CCUACGGGGGGCAGCAGUGGGGAAUAUUGGACAAUGGGCGAAAGCCUGAUCCAGCCAUGCCGCGUGUGUGAAGAAGGCCUUCGGGUUGUAAAGCACUUUCAGUGGGGAAGAAAGCCUUGGGGCUAAUACCCUCGAGGAAGGACAUCACCCACAGAAGAAGCACCGGCUAACUCCGUGCCAGCAGCCGCGGUAAUACGGAGGGUGCGAGCGUUAAUCGGAAUUACUGGGCGUAAAGCGCGCGUAGGCGGUCUGAUAAGCCGGUUGUGAAAGCCCCGGGCUCAACCUGGGAACGGCAUCCGGAACUGUCAGGCUAGAUUGCAGGAGAGGAAGGUAGAAUUCCCGGUGUAGCGGUGAAAUGCGUAGAGAUCGGGAGGAAUACCAGUGGCGAAGGCGGCCUUCUGGACUGACACUGACGCUGAGGUGCGAAAGCGUGGGUAGCAAACAGGAUUAGAUACCCGGGUAGU
rnacentral:rRNA from 1 species